UAAUGAAAACGAAAGAGGAGUUGCGUCCAACAACUCCCCUGGACAGCACCGCAAAAGACGGUGGCGAAUUUUUAUUUUACAAAAAA
rnacentral:sRNA from 1 species